GAGCGGCAGACGGGAGAGUAACACGUGGGAACGUACCCUUCAGUUCGGAACAACCCAGGGAAACUUGGGCUAAUACCGGAUACGUCCGUAAGGAGAAAGAUUUAUCGCUGAAGGAUCGGCCCGCGUCUGAUUAGCUUGUUGGUGAGGUAACGGCUCACCAAGGCGACGAUCAGUAGCUGGUCUGAGAGGAUGAUCAGCCUCACUGGGACUGAGACACGGCCCAGACUCCUACGGGAGGCAGCAGUGGGGAAUAUUGGACAAUGGGCGCAAGCCUGAUCCAGCCAUGCCGCGUGGAUGAUGAAGGCCCUAGGGUUGUAAAGUCCUUUCGGCGGGGAAGAUAAUGACGGUACCCGCAGAAGAAGCCCCGGCUAACUUCGUGCCAGCAGCCGCGGUAAUACGAAGGGGGCUAGCGUUGCUCGGAAUCACUGGGCGUAAAGCGCACGUAGGCGGCUUUUUAAGUCAGAGGUGAAAUCCUGGAGCUCAACUCCAGAACUGCCUUUGAUACUG
rnacentral:rRNA from 1 species